AAUCGAAGCAGUGAAUUAAGCCCCAGUAAACGGCGGCCGUAACUAUAACGGUCCUAAGGUAGCGAAAUUCCUUGUCGGGUAAGUUCCGACCCGCACGAAAGGCGUAACGAUUUGGGCACUGUCUCAACAACAGACUCGGUGAAAUUGUAAGUCCGGUGAAGAUGCCGGAUACCUGCGACAGGACGGAAAGACCCCAUGGAGCUUUACUGUAGCUUGACAUUGGGUCUUGGUACUACAUGUACAGGAUAGGUGGGAGGCUUUGAAACCAGGACGACAGUUGUGGCGGAGCCAUCCUUGGGAUACCACCCUU
rnacentral:rRNA from 1 species